GCCCUUGUAGCUCAGUAGGCAGAGCACAUUCUUGGUAAGAAUGAGGUCUCGGGUUCGAAUCCCGACAAGGGCU
rnacentral:tRNA from 1 species